CUUUAAGGUAUAUAUUGGGUAGAAGAGCAUUAUGUAUGGAACUUCUCACGAAACAGGUGAUUUUCUUAUGAUACUCAAUUUUCACCCUCAAUAGAGUGUUUUGAUUAUGUAAGCUAGAUUUAAGCUAGAUUCUCUUAAAGAAAUUUUAGUGUGUGUUCUUUUUUUUUCAUAGCCCCUACUUUCAAGAAUGAAAAAGGUCAACCAGUAAAAUGAGAUUGUACUUGGUGGUGAAUCUAUGCUAGGAUCGGCAUUAAGAGUGACCUUUAUUUAAGGUUCUAACUUGCUCAUGGUUGGGCACUUAGAACGUCAGUUUGUUGUUUUUUGUGAGAUUCUGGAAAUGGUCCAAUUUUACUUUUUCCCCUUGUCUCCAGGCUUUUUAACACUGAUCUGCUGCUGUUGAGGUGCAUGGCAUCUUGUUAGGCCUUCUCAAGUGGGAAUCAGGAAUGCUGCUGUGUUCCAGAGAUGUUUUGUUUCCUGUAGGGCUGAAGCAGUGCCUACUCAAUAGAACCGGUCAUCGUGCAAAGAAAUGCCACCUGACUCAAAGGCAAAGCCAGAGUGUAGCUUGGAGCAAAGAAGUCGCUCAGCUGCCUGGUAGGUGACUGGAGGCGUUGAUCAGUGCUCGCUGGGAUUUUGCUGACGUGGCCCCAAUCCCGCUUCCCUUCCCACCCUGCGAUGGCAGA
rnacentral:lncRNA from 10 species